GAAUCCGUCACAGCAACUGAUAUGGAGAGAACCCUCCCACUUCCCACAACUCCUCGGCUGAUACUCCAUGGCGGGACAUAGGGAUCAACCCUGAGCGGGGCACAAAGACUGUACGGGGCAAAGGGAAGGUCAAAAAGAGCUCUGGCAGACCUCCGGUCUCAAGUCUCCUAAAAAGACUAAUGGACUUCGAGUGGGACUUCAUGUAGUCAGUGAUACACACACGCAGACACAGACAUACACACACAUACACACACAUACACACACUCCCAGACACACACAUGCAGACACACACAGCGAUACCUAAUACAGUGCAUAGCUGUAUGUAUGUUCAAUUUCAAUAAAGACAGACAUGGUUUGAAAAGACA